rnacentral:lncRNA from 1 species
CCUGAAUAUCUUGGCCUACAGCACAAAGCAGGACCCGCCUCAACCCAACCCUAGUCCAACAACCAUGUGCACAUAAACAUACAAUCAUAUAACAAUUCACAGUCAACAAGCCGAUCUAGCAGAUCACAUAACAUAUCAUCAUCCUAACCAGGAUACCGACCUAACGGGUCACUAGCAUAGCACCACUCUACAUAACAGGAUACCGACCUUAAACAGGUCUCUAACAUAUACCAUCCUAGCUACCAGGAUGCAAGCAUAUCAAAGCAAUAACAUAACAACAGAUACCCGGAUCUCAAUCCGAUAAAGGGCCGGCCUUGGUGCCAUAGACCCUGUUGAUAUAGUGAGGAUAUCUCACCUCGCACUGCCGAAACUCUGAACCGAAGUAGCAGAUUCUCGAAUUGCUGCCUCACCGAAAAUCCCGAACUAGCCAACAUAGCACAAAUAAUUAUUAGGCUAAGCACAAUGCUCUUUCAAGGGUAAAUUGACCAUUUUACCCUUAACUCAAUCCGGCCCAACACUAGGUAAGCUCCCAAGCCCACCAAUGGCCCAAAGUCCAAAAGUCCGAAGCAAAGCCCACUAUUGGCCCAAUUUACUAAAUUGGGCCCACCUCACCAAAUGGGCCUAAACUCAUGAUCCAUAACAACCAAUGGGCCCACAAUACUCUAACCAUAAUGUCCAGUCACGACCCAAAAUCCAGCAGUCCAAAUAACAGCCCAAUCCCUAAGGCCCAAAAUGAAAACCCAAUAGAGGGAGUACACUGGGCGUACCCUCCCUGGUACGCUGGGCGUACACGCUGAUUCGCGACUGGGGAUUGGGGCGCUGAUCCGCUACGCUAAGCGUACUCGGCGAGUCCCCAAAUUUACACUCCCUCUCGGAGCUACAUUCCUCUUUGGGCGUACUCGGCGAGUCCCCAAAUUUCAUACUUGGCCCUCAUUAUUCCACUUUUCCCACAAGAUGACCAAAAUACCAUUUCUCUUAAAUCACGGGGACUCACGAUUAGGUACUCUUAGGAACGGGGCUUUACAAUUCUCCCCCACUUAAAUUAGGCUUUGCCCUCGAAGCCUUCAGCAACUCUACUCCAGAACUUCUCCUGCAACGCACUACCUGGCAUUAACUAAACCAGGUUCCUCAAGACAGAACCAUCGAAACCUGAAACUCACUUUCUCCUUUCUAGCAGUGUCCUGACUACCGUCUCAAGCAGGCCACCGGCUUCACCCUUUGAUAUCCACACUUAUCAGUUUCUACACUUAUGAACCGAGUACCACUCCAUGGCACUUUCUCGAUCCUGAUCACAACAAUCACUUGACUCUUACGAGCUAGAUAUAACCCUGAACCACCAGGUUCCCGAUCUGAGUCCAACUCCAUCCAUUCCAUGCUGACAUAAUGACACAUUCUUCAGCCUCAGAGCAACUCCCAUGAGUUCUCGUCUUGCAAUCGCAUGCACAUGCUGCACUAGCUCUAACACCCUCGGGUUAGGAAAACCCGUCACACUGACGACACCUCCAAACAUCCCCCAGGAUGAACCACCACUACAUACACAAUUCCUUGAUCAGAAUCAAACUGGGAGUCCAAGACUCCAUCCCUGCAUCCCUUCCGAGCCUCUUGGCUCUACACCCAUGGAAUUCCUUCCGCGACCUCAGCAGACAUCCAAUCCGGAUGUGAUCCCAUACCACUGCCACAAUCACGCUGCUCAAUGACUAUAAUUGGACCACUCCAAUCAUAACUCUGCGCUGCUGCUUUCACUUAUAUGAAUUUACACUCCCUCUCGGAGCUACAUUCCUCUCUCUUUCCUUACCAAGGAAAUCCACUUGGCCGCCUUGUCACUACGACAAGUGCCACGGUGCUCGCCCAACGCUACACCACUCCUUUAUAGCAUAACCGCUAUCCAUGCAACACACAUGCUCUGAAUCUGCUCGCAAGAACUCUCGAGUCCAUGUACCAUCUCCACUAAUCAAGAUCAAUACCCGAGGGCCAGACCCUCUAAUGCUAACACAUCGCAACAUACUCAAUCCAUUUCCUCGAACCGAUCUAACAAUACCUGCAGUGUCUUCAACAUGAUUGGACCGCCUUACCAGGCCUUCAGCCAAUCUGGACCACUCUCAAAACCUUCAGCCAAUCUGGACCGCCCUCCAGGGCCUUCAGUCUGGCUGGACCGUUCUCUGAGCCUUCGGCCUGACUGGUACGCCUACCGGCCUUUAGUCUAUCCGGACCGCUCAAGUAGCAUUCAUCAUUCCGAGUUAUCUCUCCAGGAAAUCCUCCCAUGCAUACUGUUCUAGCCCUCUAGGGGUUCCGAACUCUAUUUCCAUCACACAAACUCAAUCCCGGCCUGAUCCCAGGCCCUCCACAAUCAAGUACCCUUGGUCUACAUCCCACCCCGCAUGCCUGCCACUUACUUAUACCAGCCUACGCUCUUGGCUGACAGAACUCUGCUGAAUCCCAAACAGCUAAACAACCUCACAUGCUCAUCGAUCUUCCGGAGAAUUUUCCAAUUCUCCCCCACUUAUAGCACUGACUAUCAAUCACCGGUCGCCAUCACCGACCUCCUUCAACAACCUUACACAACACAAUCACUUACACACGAACUGCAACCCGCAAGCACGAGCAACCUUCACAAAAUCACAUAUCAACACUGAUCAUCCCGAACUCGAAAGAAACUCAAUCUGCAACUAACCACUCCUCAGAAUGCAGAUGCUACCCAACCUUCAAACCAGAAGCCAGAUUUCCACUAAUAAUCCCCAUGAAUGAUAACCAAUGAAAUUCCCAACACUAACUCAUAACCAUACCAUAACCCUCAAAGAACAACGAAUACCACACUAAAAACCACAUAAUGAGACAAGCAGAUAAAUAAUACUCCACAAAUAUCACAAGGUAACAAGACAUGAAGAAAGAAACAUACCCGCGGCUGCAUCCGACACUGCUCUGACCUCUUCUGUUGUAAGCUGGAAAGCACGACCCUGUGCCCUUGGGGGCUCCGCUCCACCCUGACCUCCACCCGUGAUCCUCAAAGUGGUCGGUGCUGGAGCCGGCACCGGUCCUGCAGUAAGCUGUGUACAGUUGACCCUCAAGUGCCCAACCUGAUGACAAUGAUAACAAAUCCUCAAAUCCCGAACCGACGCUGACUGCCGACAAUCCCUCGCAUAGUGCCCCUCCUUUCCGCACUUGCGGCAUGCACCACCGGACCUACAAACUUCGGUGUGACCCCUCCCACACUUCCCACAAGCAUGGAUGCUCUGAUCUCCCACCCUAGAAUCAAUGUUGGACCGUUUCGGCGCUGGCUGCGACUGCACCAGAGCCUGCCUCAGCUCGCGCAACUACAACUCAAUCUCUAACUCACGCCGCUUGGCGGUCUCCUGCAAGUCCAACAAAGUCUCGCACCUCUGCGAAGACACAAACUGUCUGAUAUCCCUUUUGAGCAUACUCAGAUAUCGGGUCAUCUGAGCCUGCUCCGAAGCGAACUCAGGGAAAAACAUCGCUCUCUCAGUGAACAUCCUGGUGAUCUCAGUCACCGACUCCGAAUCCUGCUUCAGCUCAAGGAACUCCUGAGCCAAUCUCUCCUUCUCAACCCGCGGAACAUAACGAGUGCUGAACAUUUCUCUGAACUGAUCCCAUGAAACCGCAUCCCUUUGCGCAUCCGAAUAUGACCCUGUGGUCAAUCUCCACCAAUCCUUCGCCCCGAGCCUCAACAGGUUCAGAGCACACCUCACCCUCUGAUCAGCAGGGCAUGAACACGUGAAGAAACACCCCUCCACGUCCGACAACCAUAUCAUAGCAACAAUCGGGUCCUGAACUCCAUAAAAGGUAGGAGGCUUCGUAUUAUCGAAGUCCCGAUACUGAAAACCCCGACCAACUCCUCCCAUGCCGCUGCUACAGCCGCUAUAGCCGCCACAGCAACCGUCUCUGUGAGAGCUGCAUAGCGCUCAUCAAAAUACUCAACCAUGGCGGUCUUGAUCGACCCAAAUAGUUCCGACAACUCGACCCGGAACAACACAGCAACCUCAUCAUGCAGGAUCUCACGAAUCCUAGCAUCUAACUCGCCUGUGCUCAUCUGACCCACAGCCUUGGGCAGUACUGACCCGCCCGGAACUCCCUCUCCUGCUCCCGAUCAUGACCCGGAUCCACUCCCAGCAUGCCUCGGAAUCUCCAUACUGAAAAACACCACAAGAUCUCAGAUUCUUACCACUAUCCAGGGAACCAACUCUCAAUCCAACCCUAGAGGUCAUGGUUUCCCUGAUACGCGUAUGGGUCCUGUGCUUUCAGUAGUACGGGCCCAUACUACCUUCCACACCUACCCAUAUUUGUAUGAAGUACUACCACAACACCCUAGUGAAAACAUACAUAACAAACGCUCAACCCUCACUUCUAGAGGAACACUAGAAAUCUCCCACGAUGAAACCCUAGGCUAACAUGCAUCAUAAAUCAGGCAACAUUAUCAUGAAAUCCUGAAGAUCCCUAGCCUAGUACUAGCAUGCUGUUUUAUCAAAGCUCAAAAACAAAUAUCAUGUAUGGUAUUUUGGGGUUACUUACUGGCUCCAACUGAUUGUACCUCCACGUCCUCCUUUACCCAUUUUGAAAACCAUUUUAAAUUCUCUUUUGAAAACCCUCCUCGAUUUGAGACUGGAGUAACACGAGUAUUCCUCCAAUUCACUCAAACCAAGGCUCUGAUACCAACUUGUAACGACCAAAAAAUUCCAACCAAUUUAAACUUUUCAAAAACAACCCGAUUUCAUUAAAUUAUUACAAAAAGGUUUUCAAUACAAUUAAUUUAGAGUAUUCCCAGAAUCACAUCACAACAUAAACAUGAGGAGCGGUACGAUCACGCCUUCGCCUUGCCACGGUCUCCUGAAGAACCUGAAAAACAUUAAACCACAACUGUAAGCCCGAAAGCUUAGUGAGAUAUCCCAAAAAUACCAACCACAUAUACCAUACACGCAUAACAUGCCAUAUCAUAUCCGAUCACAGAACAGCCAUGCACUUCGGGUCUACUGUGUGACUGGUCCGCCACACCGGCCAACAGUCCACCUAGUCCACCCUCCGAGUCUAGCCAUAUACAUCGAGUCUGCAGUGUGAUUGGUCCGCCCGCUCCGGGCCUUCAAUCCACCUGGUCCACUCUCUGAGUCUACAGUAUGACUGGUUCGCCCGCACCGGGCCUUCAGUCGGCCUGGUCCACUCUCCGUGCCUCAGCACGUCUUGUCCGCCCUCUUGGGGCCUACAAUAUAUCCGGACCGCUCGCUGGGCCUUCGGGACAACCGGUCCGCCCUGGGUAUCUUGGCCUACAGCACACAGCAGGACCCACCUCAACCCAACUCCAGUCCAAACAACCNAUACAAUCAUAUAACAAUUCACAGUCAACAAGCCGAUCUAGCAGAUCACAUAACAUAUCAUCAUCCUAACCAGGAUACCGACCUAACCGGUCACUAGCAUAGCACCACUCUACAUAACAGGAUACCGACCUUAACCAGGUCUCUAACAUAUACCAUCCUAGCUACCAGGAUGCAAGCAUAUCAAAGCAAUAACAUAACAACAGAUACCCGGAUCUCAAUCCGAUAAAGGGCCGGCCUUGGUGCCAUAGACCCUGUUGAUAUAGUGAGGAUAACUCACCUCGCACUGUCGAAACUCUGAACCGAAGUAGC